UACGUAGGUGGCGAGCGUUAUCCGGAAUUAUUGGGCGUAAAGAGCGCGCAGGUGGUUGAUUAAGUCUGAUGUGAAAGCCCACGGCUUAACCGUGGAGGGUCAUUGGAAACUGGUCGACUUGAGUGCAGAAGAGGGAAGUGGAAUUCCAUGUGUAGCGGUGAAAUGCGUAGAGAUAUGGAGGAACACCAGUGGCGAAGGCGGCUUCCUGGUCUGUAACUGACACUGAGGCGCGAAAGCUAGGGGAGCGAACGGGAUUAGAUACCCGCGUA
rnacentral:rRNA from 1 species